rnacentral:rRNA from 1 species
UACGGGGGGGAGCAAGCGUUGUUCGGAUUUACUGGGCGUAAAGGGCGCGUAGGCGAUCUGACAAGUCUGGUGUGAAAGCCCACAUGUUAACUGUGGAAGUGCAUUAGAAACUGUUGGAUUUGAGUUCAGGAGAGGAAGGCAGAAUUCCCGGUGUAGCGGUGAAAUGCGUAGAGAUCCGGAGGAACACCAGUGGCGAAGGCGACACGCUGGGCCGUACCUGACGCUGAAGCGCGACAGCAUGGGGAGCAAACGG